rnacentral:rRNA from 1 species
UUCCGGUUGAUCCCGCCGGACCUGACUGCUAUCGGAUUGAUACUAAGCCAUGCGAGUCUUUGUAGUAAUACAAGGCAUACGGCUCAGUAACGCGUAGUCAACCUACCCUAUGGACAAGAAUAAUCUCGGGAAACUGAGCAUAAUUCUUGAUAGAUCAUAAUGCCUGGAAUGGUAUAUGGUUAAAAUGAUUCGUCGCCAUAGGAUGGGACUGCGGCCUAUCAGCUUGUUGGUGAGGUAAUGGCCCACCAAGGCGAUAACAGGUACGGGCUCUGAGAGGAGAAGCCCGGAGAUGGGUACUGAGACAAGGACCCAGGCCCUAUGGGGCGCAGCAGGCGAGAAAACUUUGCAAUGUGCGAAAGCACGACAAGGUUAGUCCGAGUGAUUUCUGCUAAAGAGAUCUUUUGCUAGUUAUAAAACCACUAGUGAAUAAGGGGUGGGCAAGUUCUGGUGUCAGCCGCCGCGGUAAAACCAGCACCUCAAGUGGUCAGGAUGAUUAUUGGGCCUAAAGCAUCCGUAGCCGGCUCUGUAAGUUUUCGGUUAAAUCUAUACGCUCAACGUAUGGGCUGCCGAAAAUACUGCAGAGAUAGGGAGUGGGAGAGGUAGACGGUACUCGGUAGGAAGGGGUAAAAUCCUUUGAUCUAUCGAUGACCACCUGUGGCGAAGGCGGUCUACCAGAACACGUUCGACGGUGAGGGAUGAAAGCUGGGGGAGCAAACCGGAUUAGAUACCCGGGUAGUCCCAGCUGUAAACGAUGCAGACUCGAUGAUGCAUUGGCAUAUAGCCAGUGCAGUGUCGCAGGGAAGCCGUUAAGUCUGCCGCCUGGGAAGUACGUACGCAAGUAUGAAACUUAAAGGAAUUGGCGGGGGAGCACCACAAGGGGUGAAGCCUGCGGUUCAAUUGGAUUCAACGCCGGG